GCGCCCGUGGUGAAAUGGAUAUCACAACGGUCUUCGGAACCGUCGUUGCGAGUUCGAGUCUUGCCGGGCGCA
rnacentral:tRNA from 1 species